AUCUAUGGCCAUGUCAACCCUGAACAAGCCCGAUCUCGUCUGAUCUCAGAAGCUAAGAAGGGUCAGGCUUGGUUAGUACUUGGAUGGGAGACUACCUAGAAAGAUCAGGUGCUGUAGGUA
rnacentral:rRNA from 1 species